rnacentral:lncRNA from 1 species
ACCCUCCAACUGGUCCCCAUCCUUGGAGCAUACAGUGCAGUGCGGGAUGCCGGGGCGAGGGAUGGAGAGAGCCUUCUGGAGGAAAGCCCAGCGUGGCUAGUUACACUUUUCCUGAGUAUUCCACUCCCCGCCACUUUUCAUCAUCUAUUUGUUGAUCCACAAUAGAAAACAGUCAGUGUUCCACCACACAUCUUCUGCAAUCACAAACACAGCACACACUUCCCUAACAGGAAUCUCAGGCACCUGGAGUGUUAGAACGGGAAAGAUCUUAGGGAUUCAGUUAGGCCCAUUUGGCAGAUGGGGAAAUGGAUUCUUCAUUCACUGAUCCAGCAGAUACUCAGGCACACCCGUGAUGCGCUGGCGCUGCUGCUAACAGCAGUGGUGUGCUGGAUGUGAUCUAUGAAAUCCAAUUUUCAGGAAUUUUGCAAACUGGCUGUUAAACACACAUGAUUAGAAAUUAAAUUAUACAAACCUAAAAAAACAAAGGCCCUAAAUAUCCAAAUCCAGCCAUUCCUAAUUAUUUGACUGUGCUUACUAUUACAUCUGCUCUGGAGUUAUUGACACCAACAGUGUCUGUGUGGGGCUUGGGGGAGAGAUACUGCACCAUGGGGGAUAAUGCACGUCUCCCCAGCACCACCUGCAGUGGCGUCACGCUGGCAGCUUGAAAUCAAUCAUGCAGGGACUCUUUACACCAUGGAAUCCAGCAAAGACUAUCAGUUUGACUUUGAUUUGUUGUUUUGUUGAUUGUCUAGACUUACAGUGAUGGAGAAAGUACUAGUAAUGAACAAGAAACGUAGAAGUGUGUUUAGUCUGGUACAGAAGCUGAAAGAAGUUUCAGUUUAAUGACUAUGAGUUGUAUGAGGGUGAAAAAUAGUUUUAUAGCAGAUUACCUAUCAGAUUAAAUGACAAUAUACAUUGGAAAAAAAUGAGUGGAUUGAGAUAUAACUCCAAGUGUAAAAUCAUGGUUGAACUGCAACUGUAGGUUGGCUAUGGAUACAAGAGUUCAGCAAAUAUUAACAAAAACAUUUUGUAAGAACCAAUUGGCUAAGUGGAUUUUUAUGAUAAACAGCAUUGUAUAUUUAUUAUUUGUAAAUUGUAAGCUAUUUACAAUCAACUAAUGUACACGCAUAUGAUACAUACAUGCAGAUAUGUACACAUAUCAUACAUAUAUGCACAUAUGUGCACACACACACAUUUUCCAGAGCACUGCGGGACUGAAGCAUUGAGCACACCACUGGUACUAUGAUGGUAAGACAGCAUGGCAUCUGCUCUCACAGAACCAUCAGUGCAGCAGCAAAGAUGAACAAAUAGGCAGUCACCUACCACCAAAUGUGAUGGAUGUCAGGACCAGGGAAGGGAACAGGGGACACAGCGGGGGAGCCAGCCCAGUCUGGCAGGGCUGGGGAGGACUUUGUGGGCCUGACUCAGGGGAGGGGACUAGAACAAGACCCCCCAGAUUAUAUGCCAGCGACAAAAGACAUCUUGGAAGGCAUCUUUGUUCCUGCAUCCCUCCGUUUUGCCCUAGCUGUGGGUUAUGAGGCAGGGAUUAAUCAAUUAGCCAUGUUUCAUAGGCUAAGAAUUCAAACUGAGGAUAGAGGGUGGGAAAGGAAGAAAGAUUGCAAGCUCUGACUUUUCUAGACUUGGACUGUCCUCCAGGGCAGCAGUGACAUGAAUAACUGACCCAGUCUCUGAGCGGGGAUAUCUCUUUUCAGCUAAGUGCUCCCCAGCUGCCACCAGCACCAGUUAAUGACUAUUAACAAAGCUGAGGAGUGUUCUGAAAGCCCACAGAAAUCACACAUGAAAACCCAACAGAUCAGUCUGGUUUCAGGCUUUCCAUCUCGUGCUGGCAUUCUGACACCGGUCUUCAUCAGCCUAACUUGACAAGAGGCGGCUUCUGUGCUCACCUGAAAUCCCACAGUGCCGGGGUCCCCCAAACCACUCAGAGAUAAAAUCCCAGUCCUACUCACCCUGGAGAUACGGGAAAGCACAGACUGCAAGGGAACGGGAGUGUCACCUCCCAGCUGCUGGCUUGGUGGCCGCGAAGGGGCUGUGACUGUGUCAUAGUCACACUCACUUCUCUAGAAACUUCCAUCUCUCAUUCCUCUGGCUGCUUCUCUCCUUCCUUCACAUGUGCAAGUCACCCUGAUCCUAAGGUAGCCUGGGUUCCCAAGACAGCCUCCCCUCGGUUGCCACACUGCGCCUCCCAGGAGGUGUGCACUGUCACCAUGCUUGCUGCCAUUUUCCCCCAUGGAAACCCCACUGCCUGAUCUUCCAGCGAGGCAGCUCACUUGCCAUAGUCCUGUGGGGAGUCCCUUCUGUUGUUCAGACGCCAGCCUGACAUUCUGUCUGCAGGCCCAGGCCAUCCUGCCUGGGACCCUUCCCUUUGGUCGCUCUUCAAGGCCCAGCCCUGGUGUCCCUCAGUGCUCCUCGCUCCUCCCAUGUGCUCCUCCAGCUGCACGUCUGAGCCGGGGCUGCAUCUUAUUCCUCACUGGCCCUCGCAGUGUCCCUCGGCAUCAAGGGGUUUGCUGAGUUAUUUGUUAAGGGCUGGCCCCUCUGCUUGAAAUGAUUUGGAUGACACACUGGCUUCCAGGCACUGUGCCUGCCCUGGCUGCCCUGGGGCACACCUCUUUCUUCCUGGCACUUCGUGUUGUCCCCUUCUUCGCACUGGCUCUCUCUGCACUCUUUCCAUGGAUGAGCGCAUCUGCUCUCCUGGCUUUCCUGGUGACUGUGCCUACCACAUCUAUGCCUCCAGCCAUGACUUUCAAGCCCCUCCAGCAACGUGGUUCAAAAUCUCCCUUUCCUGUCUACCAGAUCUAAUCUGUCAUCAAGUCUAACUGGUCCUCCCAGG